GGAGUAAUGCGUGACCAACCUGCCCCAUGCUCCAGAAUAGCUCUUGGAAACGGGUGGUAAUGCUGGAUGCUCCAACUUGACGCAUGUCUUGUUGGGAAAGUGUUUAGUGGCAUGGGAUGGGGUCGCGUCCUAUCAGCUUGUAGGCGGGGUAAUGGCCCACCUAGGCUUCGACGGGUAGCCGGCCUGAGAGGGCGGACGGCCACAUUGGGACUGAGAUACGGCCCAGACUCCUACGGGAGGCAGCAGCA
rnacentral:rRNA from 1 species